rnacentral:lncRNA from 1 species
AAAGAAAAAAAACUAAAGGAAACUGGGCUCCUUACGCCGCUCCGCAUUACGGCCGUUCAUCAGCCCCCCAAACCUUCGCUCGACUCCGAUUACGACGGAGGGAACAAAGAUCCGGUCUCCAGGUAACCUCUGCGCACCCUAAUAUUUUUAUAUUUUUAGCAUCGUCCCCCAAAUGAUAAACAAAAGAGUAAGAAAAGAAACCAAAGAAAGAAAAAAACUCAGAAAAGCAAAGCAAAACUCUUAUUCCUUUUGAUUCUCUCUUUUCUCUGAAUAUUUUUCUGUUUCUUGUAUUCAAUAUCCGUCAAAAAGGAAGCCCCUUUUACAUUGUAGUAUUUGGCUUUUUAUAGCCGAAUCGGAAAAAAGAAAUAAAAAUCACACCUAUUUUCUCUGCUCUUUGUUAUUCGAUUUUUUUGCUGUCCUUUUCUUUCUUCUGCGUGGUUGUUUGUUUGUUUGUUGCGCAGGUACAGUCGUACGAGGGAUGAACGAAUGCGCACAUGCGCGUAGGCGCAGCACGCGCAAGGAGGAGGCCUAGUUCAGCUGCGGCGGCAGAGGCUUGCUUCAGGAAUUGUUUAGGGUUUUAGGUUUUUUUUGGGCCUGAG